rnacentral:rRNA from 1 species
UACGUAGGGUGCGAGCGUUAAUCGGAAUUACUGGGCGUAAAGUGUGCGCAGGCGGCCGCGCAAGUCGAGUGUGAAAUCCCCGAGCUUAACUUGGGAAUUGCGCUCGAAACUAGCUGGCUGGAGCGCGAUAGAGGAGGGCGGAAUUCCUGGUGUAGCGGUGAAAUGCGUAGAUAUCAGGAGGAACACCGGCGGCGAAGGCGGCCCCUCUGGAUCGUUGCUGACGCUGAGACGCGAAAGCGUGGGGGAGCAAACAGG